AAAGGGACAGAACUAAUCGGAUAUACACAUAUUUGAAGGGAAGAUUAUUAGGAGAACUGACUCACACUAUCACAAGGUGAGGUACCACAAUAGGCCAUCUGCAAAGAGAGGAGCGAGGAAGCCAGUCUGAGUCCCCAAACCUCAAAAGUAGUUCCCCAACCUAAAAGACCCUCUUCUUUAAUCAUUUGAACCUUCUCUCCAGAGCCAGGAGAGGAAACACAUCAUUCAGGAAAAUGGACAGCCACAUUUUCUUUCAAGCUGAGCUGUUUCUCGUGGGUUUCUUGACAUGAGGCAAUGGCCAACAGGAAAUAUAGAACCAUCUUCUGCUCAAUAUAUGGGUCUCAGACUGGGUACCAGGAUAUACAGGAACUCCAAUUAUUAAAAGGACCAACUGAUCCUGU